AGAUCAUCAGGCAACUGCACAAAGACUUGUGCCAGCACAAAUGCAGGAAAGGAGCAAGGGCUGGUAAAAGCAGCUGAGAGGGGAUGGAGCCUGGAAGUGCUUUUUAAGCAAUGUUUAUGCCAGCUUAAACUCUAUGUGAAACUCUAGACACGGAUAAUUUGGAAGUGGACACCUGCUCUGUAUUUUUCAAUUCUCCUUCAAGACUGGCCCAGAGUUCAUCUCAGGCUUAACACAGAAGUUUCUUUGAAGCACGGCUGCUUCUUUGGUUGCUAUGGCUUGCUUCCAUUUCUAGAUUAAAAAAUUGGCCAGAAAACAUGGUGGAAGUCAUGCCUGGGAUAUACUGGGAAGGUUGUACACACUGCUGUAGGACAUGUAGCACCGGUGUAUGCUAGCAUUAAUCUAGCUAGUUUGAUCAUGUUAGCUGCAACUACAUGGUGUCAUUAGGUUUAUGUCAUUUGUUCCAUCAGGUUUGUAAUCUGAAGAGGUGAAAAAUGGCUCACCUGAAAGCCCUCUCUACAUUAUUUUUGCUUGCUUUCCAGAGUGAAAUACAUGCAGAUUGCUCAGUCACAGAGUGUCUGGGGAGAGGCAGGCACAAUUCCACCAUCUCUGAGGACCACCAAAGGAAAAUAACAACACAGAACUUUCAACAAAUUAUUUAAAGUAUACUAUCAUAUUUUCUUUAUUAAAAACAAUUAUUAAUAUUUAUGUCAUUUACCUUUCUUCUAAAGUAAAUGCAGGUACUGGAAUAAUGAAAAUUUUGGCCACCACUAGCCAAAGAAAAUAUUAACUCCUUUUAAUGAUGUACUGUAGUAUACAGUAUCUUACAUUUUUUGCUACUUACUUAAUCCACUGGACAUUAAUUAGAAACACAUCUGUCUAUUGGGGAUCUCAUUAUUUUCUCUUUGUAUUUAGAAAUUAAAUAAGACUAGAAAAUGUCCUUAAUAUUAGACUGCCUCAGAAAAGCCAUUACUGUAGACAAAUCUGUUUAGCUAUAUCAUCUCUGUCCCUUUUCCUGUGAUUCCAAAUAGAGGUAAUCAACUCCCCCAAAACACAAGCACAGUUAUUAACAGUUUCUGGUUAUGACAGGAAGGAAACAAAAAUCCCUGUAAACCUAUAACUAGUUUCUGGCAGCAGUGCUAACUGAUCAG
rnacentral:lncRNA from 1 species